GCCAGAUAAGAGAAUAAAAGCAGGCUGCCCCAGGCAGCAGUGGCAACCUGCUGAGGUCCCCUUCCACACUGUUGAAGCUUUGUUCUUUUGCUCUUUGCACUAAAUCUUGCUACUGCUCACUCUUUGGGUCCACACUGCUUUUAUGAGCUGUAACACUCACCGUGAAGGUCUGCAGCUUCACUCCUGAAGCCAGCAAGACCACGAACCCACCAGGAGGAAUGAACAACUCCAGACGCACCACCCUAAGAGCUGUAACACUCACCGCGAAGGUCUGCAGCUUCACUCCUGAGCCAGCGAGACCAUGAACCCACCAAAAGGAAGAAACUCUGAACACAUCUUGACAUCAGAAGGAAGAAACAAACUCCAGACACGCCACCUUUAAGAACUGUAAUAACACUCACCGCGAGGGUCUGCGGCUUUGUUCUUGAAGUCAGUGAGACCAAGAACCCACAAUUCUGGACUCAAUAACUUUAUUCAUAAUUACCAAAAAUGAGAAAAAAACAAGAUGUACUUCAAUAGGCGACCCACCCUCUGCGCCUCAUUAACCCAUGUACUGCAUGGAAAAUAAGCGUCUGCCUGGGUUAGAAGAGGGCUGUGUGUGAAGAUUCAAAGGACGAAGGGGAAGAGUCCUCGCUGGGCGCCCAGCACGCGGACCGCGGCGGCUAGGUCACCUCCUCCGGACGCCGACACGCGCUGCCCUGGCAACCGUCACCAGGGAAACAAGCGACGUCACUUGCGCGUUUUCAACGCUACUCUACGGGGGCCGAGGGGGCGCCAAGAGUUCUGAAAGUGACAGAGGCGCUGAUGGCGCGCUGGGCUGGAUCCAAGCGAGCACGAUCUCGAGUGCGCUGGAGAUUUUAAAUCUUCUGGAGUAUAUUUUUAAAAAAGUUUUGUGGACCAAACGUUCUGCACAGAGAUGCCCAUUCCGCUCUCCUGUUGGGGAGUUAAAAAGCGAACGAUCUCACCAUGAAAUUUAAAGUAGCCAUUCAGAUAUAUUUGAAAAAUGUAAAACAGUGUGGGGAAAGGCCAUGUUAUGAUGGUGAGUGAAGGAAGCAGGACGCAAUAUAGCAAUGCUAAAUAAAUAAAGUUGUGUUUAUUUCAAACUAGGCACUAAAACAAGACCGAAAUAGAAAUAUUAAAAGUGGUUAUAUUUGGGUGGUGGAAUAGCAGUGCUGUGUUUUUAUUUUUACACUUUAGAGAAUUUUUAAAAUAAUGAACAUCGUUUAUUUUCAUAAAGGAAAAUACUUGUUUUUUUUUUUUUAAAUGGCACCUUCCAAUGUAAGACACUACUAUAUUUCAGGGCAAUAUGGGGGUGGGAGGCAAAUUUCUAGGAAAGAUGAUUCAAGGGAGAUUUCUUUCUAUCUAUCUAUCUAUCUAAUCUAUCUAUCUAUCUAUGAUAGAGUCUCGCUGUGUCGCCCAGGCUGGAGUGCAGUGGUGCGAUCUCAGCUCAUUGCAACCUCCAUUUCCCAGGUUCAAGCGAUUCUCCUGCCUCAGCCUCCUGAGUAGCUGGGAUUACAGGCACCCGCCACCACACCUGGCUAAUUUUUUUAUUUUUAGUGGAGACGGGGUUUCACCAUGUUGACCAGGCUGGUCUUGAACUCCUGACCUCAGGUGAUCCGCCCACCUUGGCCUCCUAAAGUGCCGGGAUUACAGGCGUGAGCCACAGCUCCUGCCCAAAUAUUUAUCCAGGACUUCAUAAUUUGAAAACCUUGGCAGUUGUUUUUCUAUUUUUUUUCCUCAUAAGGUGAAUGAAUACCCAUCCCAUAGACAUGCAUACAUAAGAUACGGCACUAGACUGCCAUCAGCACUGCAGGUAUAAACCCGAAGUUUCCUGAUAAAGGAAAAAUGGAUCUUUCCCGUUGGUCUCCAAUUGCUGCCUGGUGAGCUGAGGGUGGGAGACGUAUAAUAUACAGGUGGCAGCAAAGAGAGACAGGAUAAAGAGUAGGAUUCAGGUAGAUGUGAGCCUCAAAGGAUUAGGGUUUUUUUUAAAUGGUGUGUGUAGUGGGGAGUAUCAUUCGUUUGCCUCAUGACCACGAUGGGACUAUGUGGCAUAGGAAAAGGAAUAGCCAGGUCUACUUAGAGGGCUUCUGGAAAGCAUGGAUCCUAGCAGAAAGCCAGGUUUUCAUUAAAAUAAGAACAUGCUGUGAGAAAAUUAAGGAUGCAAGAGAAUUUCAGAACCGACAUUCUAGAAUGUAUGUAUUAGAAAGUUUGGGAAAGGGGUAACAUUUGCUCCAGCAAUCCAAGGAUUAUUUUUGACGAGGAUAUCAUUUUUGCAGUAACCCAUUUUUUAAAAAGCAGGGAUGAUUUUCCUCUAGGUUUGUUACUUUUCCACGGUCACCACUAAGGCUCUCAUGCCAUUUUUUUUUUCUGCCCAAAAUUCUUUUGAGAAUUUUCUUUAGUUUAUAAGCUUGACAUUUUAUCAUCCAAGAAGCUGGCGAAUCCAAUCUGGGUCACCAGUAUUUCCUCAUGUACAGUAUACAGAUGUUUGUUAAUUCCAGCCCACUUUGUUUCUCUAGCCAGAAGUAUCUGUAGGACACUGCCCUUUGUUUUUUGCUUUUUAAUUUGAAAUUAUAUUGAGAUUUUUAUAGAAUCACAUGCAGUUGUAAAAAAUAAUAGAGAUCCCCUGUAUACUUUUCCAGUUCUCCACAAUGAUAUUUUGCAGAACUUUAGUAUAAUAUUACAACCAGGAUAUUGACAUCGAUACAACCUACUCCUCUUAGAUUUCUCCAAUUUAACUGUACUUUUCUUUUGAUUUAUCACGUGUCAGUUUGUGUAUCCAUGACCAUCAAGAUAUCAAAUACUAGCCGGGCAUGGUGACUCAUGCACGCCUAUAAUCCCAGCAUUUUGGGAUGCUGAGGCAGGCAGAUCACUUGAGGCCAGGAGUUCAAGACCAGCCUGGUCAACAUGGCAAAAUCCUAUAUCUACUAAAAAUAACAAAAAUUAGCCAGGCAUAGUGGUGCUUGCCUGUAAUCCCAGCUACUUGGGAGGCUGAGGCAUGAGAAUCGCUUGAACUCAGGAAGUGGAGGUUGCAGUGAGCUGAGAUCGCGCCAUUACACUCCAGCCUGGGCGACAAGAGUGAGA
rnacentral:lncRNA from 10 species